rnacentral:rRNA from 1 species
CCUACGGGAGGCAGCAGUGGGGAAUAUUGCUCAAUGGGGGAAACUCUGAAGCAGCAACGCCGCGUGGAGGAUGAAGGUUUUAGGAGUGUUAACUCCUUUUGUUAGAGGAGAUUAUGACGGUAUCUAACGAAUAAGCACCGUCUAACUCCGUUCCAGCAGCCGCGGUAAUACGGAGGGUGCAAGCGUUACUCGGAUUCACUGGGCGUAAAGAGUGCGUAGGCGGGGUAAUAAGUCAGAUGUGAAAUCCCGUAGCUUAACUACAGAACUGCAUUUGAAACUGUUACUCUGGAGAGUGGUAGCGGUAGGUGGAAUGCAUGGUGUAGCGGUAAAAUGCUUAGAGAUCAAACGGAACACCGAUUGCGAAGGCGACUUACCAGGACAUUACUGACGCUGAGGCACGAAAGCGUGGGGAGCAAACAGGAUUAGAUACCCCUGUAGUC